rnacentral:rRNA from 1 species
CCUACGGGAGGCAGCAGUGAGGAAUAUUGGUCAAUGGUCGGGAGACUGAACCAGCCAAGCCGCGUGGGGGAUGAAGGUACAGAGUAUCGUAACCCUCUUUUGUCAGGGAACAAAGGCGGGGACGCGUCGCCGAAUGAGUGUACCUGAAGAUAAAGCAUCGGCUAACUCCGUGCCAGCAGCCGCGGUAAUACGGAGGAUGCGAGCGUUAUCCGGAUUUACUGGGUGUAAAGAGUGCGUAGACGGGGAUGCAAGUCUGAAGUGAAAGGCGGGGGCCUAACCCCAGGACUGCUUUGGAAACUGUAUGGCUGGAGUGCAGGAGAGGUAAGUGGAAUUCCUAGUGUAGGGGUGAAAUGCGUAGAGAUUAGGAGGAAUACGAGUUGCGAAGGCGGCUUGCUGGAAUGUAAAUGACGCUGAGGCUCGAAAGCGUGGGGAGCAAACAGGAUUAGAUACCCGUGUAGUC